rnacentral:rRNA from 1 species
UACGGAGGGUGCAAGCGUUAUCCGGAUUCACUGGGUUUAAAGGGCGCGUAGGUGGCCUUCUAAGUUGAACGUGAAAUCCCUGGGCUCAACCCAGGAACUGCGUCCAAGACUGGGAGGCUUGAAUCCGGGAGAGGGAUGCGGAAUUCCAGGUGUAGCGGUGAAAUGCGUAGAUAUCUGGAGGAACACCGGUGGCGAAGGCGGCAUCCUGGACCGGGAUUGACACUGAGGCGCGAAAGCCAGGGGAGCAAACGGG